CAAGAUCCGGCCCUGCUGCCUUCAGUGGGAACUCCCUCUUUAAUCUACUCGUGAUUGGCUUUGCCUGUCCCCAUCCUGCUUUACCCCCUUCUCCUCAGGUGCUUCCUGAGAGUGAGUUCUAAGGAAACGGACUGCAGAAGAACAUCUUGCCUUUCAGAAGGUGCAGUAGAAAGGAAACUGGCCCCAGAAACCAACAGUAAGAUUUCUUGCCUGAGACACCAGCUAAAAUCAGCUAUAAAAAGAAGAGUCUGGAUGCCAGGACAACUCAGUGGAGAAAGAACAGUCUUUUCAACAAAUGGUAUUGGAACAACUUAUAUCCCCAUAUAAAGGAAUGAAGUGGGGGGCGCCUGGGUGGCACAGCGGUUAAGCACCUGCCUUCGGCUCAGGGCGUGAUCCCGGCGUUAUGGGAUCGAGCCCCACAUCAGGCUCUUCUGCUAUGAGCCUGCUUCU